CCAGACUCCUACGGGAGGCAGCAGUGGGGAAUAUUGGGCAAUGGGCGCAAGCCUGACCCAGCAAUGCCGCGUGAAGGAAGAAGGCCCUCGGGUUGUAAACUUCUUUUAUCAGGGACGAAGGAUGUGACGGUACCUGAUGAAUAAGCACCGGCUAACUCCGUGCCAGCAGCCGCGGUAAUACGGAGGGUGCGAGCGUUAAUCGGAAUUACUGGGCGUAAAGCGCACGUAGGCUGUAUGACAAGUCAAGGGUGAAAUGCCACGGCUCAACCGUGGAACUGCCUUUGAAACUGGCAAACUGGAGUAUGUGAGAGGGCGGCGGAAUUCCUGGUGUAGGAGUGAAAUCCGUAGAUAUCAGGAGGAACAUCAGUGGCGAAGGCGGCCGCCUGGCACAAAACUGACGCUGAGGUGCGAAAGCGUGGGUAGCAAACAGGAUUAGAUACCCGCGUAAA
rnacentral:rRNA from 1 species